rnacentral:rRNA from 1 species
UACGUAGGGUGCGAGCGUUAAUCGGAAUUACUGGGCGUAAAGCGUGCGCAGGCGGCUUUGCAAGACAGAUGUGAAAUCCCCGGGCUCAACCUGGGAACUGCAUUUGUGACUGCAAGGCUAGAGUACGGCAGAGGGGGAUGGAAUUCCGCGUGUAGCAGUGAAAUGCGUAGAUAUGCGGGGGAACACCAAUGGCGAAGGCAAUCCCCUGGGCCUGUACUGACGCUCAUGCACGAAAGCGUGGGGAGCAAACAGG